GUGUAUUUGCAUUAGUGGCCAAAUUAAAUUUGCAUCAGGGAGUAAGCUAAAGACAGAUUUCCAUAAAAUUUGCAUUAAAAUUAAAGUUAAAUAUCAUCUUUAUGAGAAGAAAAACCUGAGGCCACAUCCUGAAAUCAAAGCAAAAAUACCAUGGAGCUUUAGAAGAUUCUGCCAAGGGACAGGAAAGCCCUGGAGACUGUAUCUAGUGCCUGUGUGCCAGCUAUUGUCUUAGUUCAGAGUACAAUGGUCAGUGCUGUCCUAGACCACAAAAGCUCUGUCCUUUCAUUUGAUAUCCUAGAGCUUUGGUCUGUUCUGCUUUCUAAAAGACAGACAUUGAAAUACAUUGAUUCUGGGAAGGAAAAUACAAUCUAUUUAGUUCUUGAUUUUCUAGCUCUUUUGUAUUUAGUGUAUUGUUUUAAUGUAUGAAGGCAUACAUGUGCAUGCCUGCAAUCCAUGGAGACCAGAAGACGGCAUCAGACACCCUGAAAUAGGACUCAGAGAAGGCUGUGAGCUGGCAUGUGGGUACUGGGAAUCAAAUCUAUAUCCUCUAAAAAAGCAGUCAGUCAGGACUCUUAAUCUUUGAGCCAUCUCUCAAAUACCUCCAACCUUUAUCUAUCUCCUUUUGUUUGUUUGACUUUAGAUGUCUGGUCAGUUCCAAACAGCUCUGAAUUUCAUUUUGUGAAUUUAAAAUUAUCUAAGGCAUAUACAUUUCUCAAGUCCAUCUUAAUAAUACCAUCAUAGAUAUAAAAUAUGAAUAAAAUAUCAAGAACAUGGGCAUCUUGGCUUUGUAAAGAACAACUGAAUUUUAUUUCAUUGCUGAAAAGAAUGUGCACCAACAUUGGAAGCUAGAGGCUAAAUACAUUAUCUAAGGUAUAAAUAUGAUUUUAUAAUAUCAAACAUACUUUACUUAUAAUUUCUGUUUUUUUGGUUUUUUUUUGUUUGUUUUGUUUUGUUUUUCGAGACAUGGUUUCUCUGUAUAGCCCUGGCUGUCCUGGAACUCACUUUGUAGACCAGACUGGCCUUGAACUCAGAAAUCCGCCUGCCUCUGCCUCCCUAGUGCUGGGAUUAAAGGCAUGCGCCACCAUGCCUGGCUAUAUUAACUUAUAAUUUCUAAACAAUCAUUAAAAUAUGUGAAUAUUUAAUGAGAAGAAAAUAGAGAUUAUCAUAUUUUGAUCUUUGAUUUUCAAAGAAAAAUAGCAAAACACAAAAGAAUCAGGUUCCUAUGCUCUGCUCAGCUGAUGCAACUUUCCUGAGUGCUUGAGAAAAUUUCAGGAUACUUUCCACUGAAGUCCCAGCUUGGUGACUCCAUCCUCAAAUCUGUUCCUCCUACUCCCCAGGAAGGAACAGAAAAAAGUGGUCCAUUUUUAUCUUUACCCUUAGGAUCUCGCCCAGUUCUUUGUCUUAAAUAUUACACUUCCCUUGUCUUAGUCUAUUUAUUGCUAUUAUGGUAAGAUUUUUUUUAUUUAGUUCUUCAUUUUUUAAAAGCCAAAUUAGGCAGCCCCAAUAUUUUAGCCUACAGUGAGAGUUCCCAUCACUGCAUCAAAACAAUAUACAUGGCAUCAUGGUGGAAGUGAAUGUAUUAGAUAGAAGUCACAUGGAAGUUAUGACAUUGGGUGACUAAUAUAUUUCAUUUUAAAGAUAUUUACAUUCAAAGCCUUCCAUUAAUCUUGAAUACUUUGGCAUUCUUGUAACUAAAAAGUUCCUCAAAAUACUUAUUCCCUUUCUUGGCUCUAAAUGCACUCAUUGUUAACUACUAGUUAGAAACUAUGAUGUCAUACAAAUAAAGGGAUUUCACAUUUGCAGUUAUAUCAGGGCUUCCAGAUAAUUGCAAGACUAUCUGACUAGAGGUUCAGCUUGAAAGAUACAUUUUUCCAGCUCUGCUUGAUGUUAGUGGACCCACUGCCACCUCUUAGUUGGGACCAGUCCAGGGAAGGAUGCUAUAGAAGCAGAAUGCUGUUUUUCUCAACCCAUGUACCAAAUAGUUCUUCAGAAACCUAAAAGUCCUGACCAAUGGUGCUAGCUGGAUGCCUAGCCAUGGCCAUGGCACUUUUAAAAUACUAUAGUAGUUAUAUUAAUUUUUAUUAUGACUUUUACCCUUAUAAUAGUUGCUUCAUAUAGGUUUUUCUUCUAUAGCCUUACAAAAACUGAAUGAAGUACAUUUAGUAUCAAAUUUUAGAUAUAUAAAAUGAAAUUUAGAGCUAUUAAGGAACAUUUUGAAAUUGAUGUCUAUAAAACUUGCAGUAGGCUAGAUUUCAAAUCUUUGUCUAGAUUUAUAGAGUAGGCUGCCAAGAUUACCAGUUCAUGAAGAACUACUGUAUACAUUCAUAUGCUUACUAUUGAUUCAUUUCUAAAGUUUCUGUCAUUUACUAGUGUGGGCACAGGAAAUGCCAAGAAGGCAUAUACAGGCCCUAGGAAGUCACACUGUAGUGGAAGGACAAAUCACAUCAGUCACUCUUUUAAUGAUAAUGACUUAGAAGAUACCCAUCCCCAGAGAAAGGACGCGUGAGACAGUACUGGUUGUUUGACUAAGGGUUCAUAGAAGACUUCUUAGGUAAAUUAUAUUGAUACAGAACCAAGACACAGAAGGAAGACCAACAUGUGGAUACUUCAUUCCUCCUUAGAAUAGGGAACAAAAUACUCAUGGAAGGAGUUGCAGAGACAAAGUUUGGAGCUAAGACGAAAGGAUGGACCAUCCAGAGACUACCCAACCCGGGGAUCCAUCCCAUAAUCAGUCACCAAACCCGGACACUAUUGCAUGCCAGCAAGAUUUUACUGAAAGGACCCUGAUGUAACUGUCUUAUGAGAGGCUAUGGCAGUGCCUGGCAAAUACAGAAGUAGAUGCUCACAGUCAUCUAUAGGAUGGAACACAGGGCUCCCAAUGUUGGAGCUAGAGAAAGUACUCAAGGAGCUGAAGGGGUCUGCAACCCUAUAGGUGGAACAACAAUAUGAACUAACCAGUACCCUCAGAGCUCAUGUCUCUAGUUGCAUAUGUAGCAGAAGAUGGCCUAGUUGGCCAUCAUUGGAAAGAGAGGCCCCUAGGUCUUGCAAACUUUAUAUGCCCCAGUAAAGGGGAACACCAGGGCCAAGAAGUGGGAAUGGGUGAGUAGGGGAGUAGGACUGGGGGGUAAGUAUAGGGAACUUUCGGGAUAGCAUUUGAAAUGUAAAUAAAGAAAAUAUCU
rnacentral:lncRNA from 1 species